AUGGCUGGCAAUAUGGACUACUCUGAUCCACAAGUAUGGGGAGUGGAUUCUCACCCACCUAGUGGUUACCUUAGUUACUUUCAGAACACGGCAGGCCCCACACAACCUAUGCACAAUGGGAGUUCACCGCAACCAGUCAAUGCUGGUGAUGACACAAAUGGUGGUGAUUGUGGAAGGACCGAAAAGCGCUUGCUAUGGACAAAACAAGAAGAUCUUCGAUUGGUCAGUGCUUGGUUGAAUAAUUCCAAUGACCCAAUCCAAUCAAACUACAGGAAGAAUGAACAAUAUUGGAAAGAUGUUACUGCUGUCUACAAUAGUACCACCCCAAAAAACAGGGAACGACUAGUCAAGCAAGUGAAAGAUCGCUUUGGGAGAAUUAAGAAAAGGGUUGCAUGA
rnacentral:rRNA from 1 species